rnacentral:rRNA from 1 species
GACGAACGCUGGCGGCGUGCCUAAUACAUGCAAGUCGAACGCUGAAGGAGGAGCUUGCUUCUCCGGAUGAGUUGCGAACGGGUGAGUAACGCGUAGGUAACCUGCCUGUUAGCGGGGGAUAACUAUUGGAAACGAUAGCUAAUACCGCAUAACAGUAGAUAUUGCAUGAUAUCUGCUUGAAAGGUUCAAUUGCAUCACUACCAGAUGGACCUGCGUUGGAUUAGCUAGUUGGUGGGGUAACGGCUCACCAAGACGACGAUACAUAGCCGACCUGAGAGGGUGAGCGGCCACACUGGGAAUGAGACACGGCCCAGAGUCCUACGGGAGGCAGCAGUAGGGAAUCUUCAGGAAUGGGCGGAAGUCUGACCGAGCAACGCCGCGUGAGUGAAGAAGGUUUUCGGGUCGUAAAGCUCGGUUGUAGGGGAAGAACGAGUGUGAGAGUGGAAAGUUCACACUGUGACGGUAUCUUACCAGAAAGGGACGGCUAACUACGUG